rnacentral:misc_RNA from 1 species
CUGAGUGAGCGCUCUCGGGCGCGACCUCCAACCCUUUGUAUUCCGACCACGUUGCCUCGGGGGCGACCCGGCCUUCGGGCGUUUGGGGCCCCCGGUGGACAUUCAACUCUGCAUCUUUGCGUCUGAGUAUGAUAAUUGAAUCAAUUA